CUCACAUUGAAACACCGGUUCUCGUAUGAUCACCGAAGUUAAGCAACGUCGAGCCUGUUUAGCUCUUACAUGGGUGACCGUUUGGUAAUACCAGGUGCUAUAA